AGAGUUUGAUCCUGGCUCAGAGUGAACGCUGGCGGCGUGCUUAACACAUGCAAGUCGAACGAGAACGGGUUUAGUUUACUAAACUGUCAGCUAAGUGGCGCACGGGUGAGUAAUAUAUAGUUAACCUGCCUCAAAGAAGGGAAUAAUUGUUGGAAACGACUUGUAAUGCCCUAUAUGCCUUUAUUACAUAAGUAAGCAAGGGAAACAUUUAUGGCUUUGAGAUGGGACUGUACGGUAUCAGUUUGUUGGUGAGGUAAUGGCUCACCAAGACUAUGACGCCUAACUGGUUUGAGAGGAUGAACAGUCACACUGGAACUGAGACACGGUCCAGACUCCUACGGGAGGCAGCAGUGGGGAAUAUUGCACAAUGGACGAAAGUCUGAUGCAGCAACGCCGCGUGGAGGAUGACACAUUUCGGUGCGUAAACUCCUUUUAUAUGAGAAGAUAAUGGCGGUAUCAUAUGAAUAAGCACCGGCUAACUCCGU
rnacentral:rRNA from 1 species